AUGGCUUGCCUCCCUCAACCAGUGCUGGACCGCGUACCGCCGAGCACGGCACGGCUUGUCGCACAACCCCGCUGCAAGUUAUGCGGCCAAGAUGAUGAGACCCUCCACCAUCUCCUUGUUGGGUGUGUCUUCUCGCGCAUUGUCUGGCAUGACAUCUUGGCAUGGUGUCGCACGCCCGCAUUACCCCCCGAUGGCAACACUGAUUUCUUCGAAUGGUGGACCGCAACCAAAGUGCCGACAAGCCUACGCAAGGGCAUCAACUCCCUUGUAAUCCUCACCUCCUGGUCCAUAUGGAAGCAACACAACACCAGCCUCUUCGACAACGCAUCACCCUCCCACAGCACUGUCCCGGAUGACAUCAAGCAGGAGGCUAAUCUCUGGGCAAGAGCCAGCACCAAAGGGCUCGAUCGGAUUAUUCCUGUAACAUAA
rnacentral:rRNA from 1 species